GCAAAUUGAAAAAGUGAAACAAGAGGAGGAUGAAAUGAGCCGAAGAUGGUCUUAAUGGCUGCUUUUUAAUGGGGAAGAUAAAAUUAAGACUGAUUUACGUGGCCAACUCCCCUGUUUUCUCUUAUCAGCUCAUUUGGCAGGAAAAAUGGAAAAGUAAUUGUUCCUCUUUCAAUGUGGGCCUCAAACCAUUAUUUAUUGGCUGAAAUUAAUCGCUGUUUAUCCUUCAUUCACGUGGAAACCGCUCUAUCAGCAUUAUGAACCCCAGCAACUCAACUAGUCCCUUGCAAUUUAGUCGACAGCAAGCUCGGAUCCUGAUGAGGCGUGCCUUAAUUUUCUGGGCUGUGGGAGUUAAUGAAGACUCCUUUCUGAGGUGGACAUAUUUGUAUUUCUACAACAUUAAUAACAAAGACCCACACUUUCUCUUUGGCAGCAAAUAAACUUUUUCAAAAAAAAAAAAAAAGAGGAGGAGGAAAAAUUAUUGAAAGGACGGUGCUUGGGAGAAAAACCUGAAAUAGAAUCAUGAAGCCUAUUUGUUUUUACUUUAAUCAUAACUAGAACAUGAAGCGAUGUAUAGACGUUUGGGGGACAGUACGUGGACCCAAGCACUCCCGGGAAGAUGCUGCAAAUUGGUAAAGAUGAGAUGAAAAUAGUGCAAAAACCGUACAUUCAAGAAGAAUAACUUCUUGGUUCUUUUUCGCUUCCACUUUGCCUCUUCUCCACAUUGCUUGAUGCAUGUAAUUGACAGCCUGUGGUUUUUCUGGGGCAGAGAUUCCUGGAUCGCCUCCUGUUCUUCCUCAGGGAACCAUCUGGAACUGACAGUCUGUCCUCCAGACUCAUAUCUUCCUCUUUCCAAUCAAGCAGUCAAUCAUCAAGCGUUUGUGUGCACCUUAUGUGCCCAACAGGCCUCCUCUGCCAUGAGAGAGACACACAGAGCCAGAGUGCCCUCCACGUCAACGAGAAGCACAGUUCUCAGCCUAACCACACACCAGAAGCCCUCCAUUCCAGACUUAUUGAAUCAGCAUGUCCAGAAUAGGUUCCAGCUUUGUUUGAAAGGAGGCCCCUCCAUCAGGAAAUCUGUCCCCCUUGGAGGGAAGAAUUAAUCCUGGAAAAGAAGAAGGGAAAAAAAAAAUCUCAAAACUCUGUCAAAAUAGAACACAAGGCUCUGGGGGCAGGGAUGUGAGGCAGGAGCUUAUUUGCUAUGGAAAGAUGCCUCUAUUUGACUCGAGAGGAAGUUAUCGCUCAGAGAGGCUGGCAUAGAGCGUGAACGUGUAAAUGCUGCUCCAAAGUGAGUCUCAGACUUCAAGAGCCAAAAAUAAACCGGUUCUUGGCUGAAAGACA
rnacentral:lncRNA from 1 species